CAGUAUUCUGGCAUCAGAACAUGACCAAUAGAGGCUGCUCUGAUGGAAACCAAUGCAGAAACACUAAAACAUCGUUUUUGAGCUUUUCAGGCUGUAGAAACACUAGUUUAAACUGCGGCAAUUGCAACUCUUCUUUUAGGAUGUAUUGAGCUGUUUGAAAGUAGCCUGGCAUGAGAACAUGACCAUUAUAAACUGUAAUGUUAACAAACCAAUGCAGAAACACUAAAACAUCGUUUUUGAGCUUUUCAGGUCAUAACAACACUAGUUUAAACCAACGCAUAUGCAACUGUACAUUUAGGAUGUAUUGAGCUGUUGGACAGUAUUCUGGCAUCAGAACAUGACCAUUAGAGGCUGCUCUGAUGGAAACCAAUGCAGAAACACUAAAACAUCGUUUUUGAGCUUGUCAGGCUGCAGAAACACUAGUUUAAACCACAGUUAUUGCAACUCUGCUUAUAGGGAUGUAUUGAGCUGUUUGAAAGUAGCCUGGCAUGAGAACAUGACCAUUAUAAACUGUAAUGUUCAAAAACCAAUGCAGAAACACUAAAACAUCGUUUUUGAGCUUUUCAGGCUGUAGAAACACUAGUUUAAACCACGGCAAUUGCAACUGUAGAUUUAGGAUGUAUUUAGCUGUUUGACAGUAUUCUGGCAUCAGAACAUGACCAUUAGAGGCUGCUCUGAUGGAAACCAAUGCAGAAACACUAAAACAUCGUUUUGAGCUUUUCAGGCUGUAGAAACACUAGCUUAAACUGCGGCAAUUGCAACUCUUCUUUUAGGAUGUAUUGAGCUGUUUGAAAGUAGCCUGGCAUGAGAACAUGACCAUUAUAAACUGUAAUGUUAAAAAACCAAUGCAGAAACACUAAAACAUCGUUUUUGAGCUUUUCAGGCUGUAGAAUCACUAGUUUAAACCACGGCAAUUGCAACUGUAGAUUUAGGAUGUAUUUAGCUGUUUGACAGUAUUCUGGCAUCAGAACAUGACCAUUAGAGGCUGCUCUGAUGGAAACCAAUGCAGAAACACUAAAACAUCGUUUUUGAGCUUUUCAGGCUGCAGAAACACUAGUUUAAACCACAGCAAUUGCAACUCUGCUUUUAGGAUGUAUUGAGCUGUUUGAAAGUAGCCUGGCAUGAGAACAUGACCAUUAUGGACUGUAAUGUUAAAAAAACAAUGCAGAACACUAAAAAAAUCGUUUUUGAGCUUUUCAGGUCAUAAGAACACUAGUUCAAACCACCGC
rnacentral:lncRNA from 1 species